UCCCUCUUCCUCUCCGUGAGGUCUUCUACUCUGUUUUGAUAUUGUGUGUUUUUUACUGAAGCUCACAGGAAGCCCUCCCAGGCAGUGGUUGUGAUCUGAUUCCCUCACUGUUCCCCCGCUGUAUCUUUUUUAGAAAACCAAUUUUCAAGAAGGCUCCCUUCUCUGCUGUGGAAUUUCAUGCUUGUCUUUUUCCUUUUCUCGUGUAUUCAUUGUAUCAGUUGACAAAAGCUCUUCAAAAAAUCUUUCUCCUUUGAUGAAUCUUUGCAGUCUUACUUAAAAGGAAUUUCAGCAAGAAGACCAAGAUCUUUUUUCACUGCCAUCAUGGUUAUCAAACUUACGACUUUGCGUUUUUAUACAUAGUUUCCGAGUUAACAAACUCACUUUUGGUAUAAACUCGGUGGAAUCGGAAGCAAAUUCGGCCAAACUCGAGAGUUUGCAAUCGAAUUUGUGAGUUCAGAUGAGAAAAAUUUUAAACCCAAAGGAAAACUUGCCGAGAAUAGAUUGGCUUCUCGCUGCAUGAUUGAAUGUCUCCUCAGUGCGUCGCUCAUUACUCGUGGUGCCACUGCUUGCGCACCGCCCGUGGUGCCACCAUAGUCGUUCACUUGUAGUUUGUAUCUCUCUUCUCCAUCGCUGGUUUUUUUUCUAGAAAAGGUGAGCUUUUUCUGUUGUCCCCUAGCCAUGUACCGCAUGUCUUCUUUAUUCUAGAAAAGGUGAGUUUGUUCUGUUGUCCCCUGCACAUCAUUUCUUGGAAGAAGUGAAGUAAUUUAGGGGAUUUGAGUUUUUUUUUGGGUCCGCCAGAGGAAUGGAUUUAGGGUAGCUUUUAGGAAAG
rnacentral:lncRNA from 1 species